GAUGAACGCUGGCGGCGUGCCUAAUACAUGCAAGUCGAGCGAACAGACGAGGAGCUUGCUCCUUCGACGUUAGCGGCGGACGGGUGAGUAACACGUAGGUAACCUACCUAUAAGACUGGGAUAACUUCGGGAAACCGGAGCUAAUACCGGAUAAUAUUUCGAACCGCAUGGUUCGAUAGUGAAAGAUGGCUUUGCUAUCACUUAUAGAUGUACCUGCGCCGUAUUAGCUAGUUGGUAAGGUAACGGCUUACCAAGGCAACGAUACGUAGCCGACCUGAGAGGGUGAUCGGCCACACUGGAACUGAGACACGGUCCAGACUCCUACGGGAGGCAGCAGUAGGGAAUCUGCCGCAGUGGGCGAAAGCCUGACGGAGCAACGCCGCGUGAGUGAUGAAGGUCUUCGGAUCGUAAAACUCUGUUAUUAGGGAAGAACAAACGUGUAAGUAACUGUGCACGUCUUGACGGUACCUAAUCAGAAAGCCACGGCUAACUACGU
rnacentral:rRNA from 1 species